AUGAACGCUGGCGGCGUGCCUCAUACCUGCAAGUCGAGCGAACAGACGAGGAGCUUGCUCCUCUGACGUUAGCGGCGGACGGGUGAGUAACACGUGGAUAACCUACCUAUAAGACUGGGAUAACUUCGGGAAACCGGAGCUAAUACCGGAUAAUAUAUUGAACCGCAUGGUUCAAUAGUGAAAGACGGUUUUGCUGUCACUUAUAGAUGGAUCCGCGCCGCAUUAGCUAGUUGGUAAGGUAACGGCUUACCAAGGCGACGAUGCGUAGCCGACCUGAGAGGGGGGCAGCCACCACGGGAGCGGAGACAGGGCACAGACUACUACGGGAGGCGGAAGGAGGGAAUCUUCCGCAAGGGGCGAACGCCGGAGGGGGCAACGACGCGGGAGGGAUAAAGGUGUUGGGAGUGAAAAACUUUGUUAUGGGGAAAAAAAAAAUGUUAAAGAAACUGGGCACGGCGGAAGGGUACAUAAUAAAAAAGCCACGGCAAACUCCGGG
rnacentral:rRNA from 1 species